GCGCCUGUAGCUCAGUUGGAUAGAGCAACGGACUUCUAAUCCGUAGGCCACAGGUUCGAAUCCUGUCAGGCGUACCA
rnacentral:tRNA from 3 species